GACAUCUGACUGCAACACCCCUGAAAAGGCAUUUGACGACGCCUUGGCUGCUUGCAGUCACUUUGAGGUUUCCCACAAGUGCAGACAAACCCUCGACAUCUGGCUGCAACACCCCUGAAAAGCUACGGUGGC